AUAACCUUAAUAGCAUCGAAGAUGUCAAGAGUUUAUACAAGCAGAUGGUCAAAACGAGGCCUCUGCCUUCUGUUAUUGACUUCAAUCAAUUGCUUGGUCGUGUGGUUAAAUUGAAGCAAUAUUCAGCUGUUGUUUAUCUCUUUAAUGACAUGUGUGUUUUGAACAUUCCUGUUACUGAAUGCUCCCUGAAUAUUGUCAUGAAUUCUUGCUGUUCUGCAAAUCGGGUUGAUUUCGGGUUUUCAAUAUUGGGGGAAUUCUUUAAGCGUGGUGUUGUGCCUAAUGUAUCUACGUUUAGUACUUUACUGAAAGGAUUGUUUAAAGAAAAUAGGAUUUCCCAGGCUCAGGAAUUGUUCAAGAAGAUAAUAUACGAAAGGCUAUGCGAACCCGAUGAGAAAAUGUAUGGGAUUGUAGUAGACGGGCUUUGUAAAGUCGGGAACACGAAAAUGGCUGUUGAAUUUGUUAGGAUAAUGGAAAGAGGAAGAGUUAAACCGAAUGCUGUAGUUUACAGUACUGUUAUUGAUAGUUUGUGCAAGGAUAAAAUGGUGGAUGAAGCAGUUGCUUUUUUACGUCGGAUGAUUGGAAAGGGUGUUUCACCGGAUGUUGUUACUUGUACUUGUUUGAUCAAGGGUUUAUGCAAUACAGGGAAAUUGGACGCUGCUAAAAGUGUGUUCAAUGAGAUGGUGGAUUUGGGUAUUGCUCCAAAUGUUUAUACCUUUAAUAUAUUGGUUGACGCGUUAUGUAAGGAAGCUAAGGUAAAAGAUGCAGAGGGUUUGGUUGACAUAAUGAUUGAACGAGGUCAGUAUCCUGAUAGUUUCACUUACAAUGCUUUGAUUGAAGGAUGUUGUUUGCAGGGGCGAGUAAACAAAGCAAGGAAAUUCUUUGAUACCAUGGCUGCUCAUGGAGUUGGUCCAGAUAUACUCAGUUAUUGUAUAUUGAUUAAUGGAUAUUUUAAGAAAAGGAAAACUGAUGAAGCCAUGUAUCUCUUCCGAGAGAUAUCACAUAAAGGGUUAACACCUGAUAUUUCUAUUUAUAAUACUGUCUUGCAGGGCUUGUUUAGGGUCGGAAGGUAUGUUACUGCAGGAGAAGUUUUCCUUGGGAUGCAAUCUGCUAAUAUCAGUCCCGAUUUUCAUACUUAUUGUGUGAUGUUGCAUGGCCUAUGUAAGAGUGGACAUAUUGAUGAAGCAUUAGAGCUGAUUUCUAAGAUUGAAACUGAUGCAGUAGAACUUCAUGUGUCUAUGUACAAUAUCAUCCUUGAUGGGUUGUGCAAAUGUGGGAGGCUUGAUCAUGCAAGGGGUCUUUUCAGUAGUCUCUCAAUUAAAAGACUGAAUCCUAAUGUUGCAACGUAUAACACAAUGAUAACUGGGUUUUGUUGGGAAGGUUUGCUUGAUGAAGCAAAAGAAUUUGCCAUCAAAAUGGAAGAGAAUGGUUGCUCGGCAGAUAUGACCACAUACAAUGUCAUUGUUCAAGGACUUCUCAAAAGGGGUGAAUUUGAUGAUGCAAUAACAUGUCUUGAAAAAAUGUUUGAAAGAGGAUUUUCUCUGCACUCAUCUACAUUUUCAAUGUUACUUGAUUUGUUCCAGGAAAAUGAAAACAGUCCUGUUCUUGCCAAGAUAAUUCAGAAGUGUAAUCCGGCAAGCAAGUAGUCAAAGUCAUGAAUGGUGGAUACAUUGUACCACUUAGUAACUUGCUGUUCUAUGCUGGCUCCUGAAUCCACUAUAAAUUGGUCCUGAACCAUAAUAAUUGGGAAAAUUAAUGCUUUGAAAUGGAUGAGAGGUUGCCUCCAUUUUGUGCUUUUGCUAAAGAACCAUGACUGGUAAUUCUGGAGGAGAACCCUUGGCCAUAUCCUGCAAACUGCAAGAAAUUCCGUUGGGCUGUUCCAUUUGUGCCUGCCUUUGUGAUCCAGGAAGUCAUCUACUGAACUGCUGAAUUCAACACUUUCUUGGCUUAUGAUCAUGGUGUUGACCAUUCAAAACUGAUGAAAGUCCCCAGGGGAGGAUGAGGAUGAGGAUGGACAAAAUUUUGCUUUUGGUUUCCAUGGUCCAUGUGAGGGAAAGGCAAAGUAUUCCAGAUGUGAUUAUGAUUAUUUAGAGAUAUGAAUUCUCAAGGGUUGCAAGAAAAACAUAGGUUGGGUCAUCAAGUAUGGAGUGAGCUUGUGUCAUAUCACUGGGUUUCCAGGACAGAUUAGCCAAAGGCAUAACCUAGCAUGGCCUGAAGUGAUAAGCUUUCAUCCAUAUAAUCCACAGAUUGUGUUAGUGGCCUUUGCUUUCAAGCCAUUUUGGUACAACUUUGAGAAUGGGACACGGGAGAAUGUUGGUGACGGUCUAUUACCAUCUAUGAGCCAAUUGGUCCUAUAUGAAUGGUCUCCUUUAGGCUGCAAAGACAUAAGCAUUCAUUUACUGGAUCCAUGGUCUCACCUCAAUUGUUACUGGGACCAACAAGUGGGACCUAUACAAACAUUUAACAUUGAGAGAACAGGAAAUUGCACCCUGAAGACAUGCAUCAGCCCUUCCUGGGAGCAUCAUGAACUAAAUGCUAAGUUGAAAAUCUAGGAGAAACAUAGAACUAAACAUGGAUGGGUUACAGUUUACAGGGUCUAUACAACUUAUGGGCUUAGACAUGUGAAGAAGCCCACUGCUGAUACUCAAAAUGCCACAUACAGUUGUCUUCAAGUUACCUUUUUGUCCAUGGCAGUGGAAUAAAUUUUCAAGCUCCAGUACCUUAGUUCCUUAUUGAUGCUGUACCUCGAUUAGAAAGAUCAACUUAUUCCAGCUAGGUCUUAGCAUGUGCAGACAGAGAAAAAUGAGAAGCACUUCCUCUGAUUAAUGCAUGAAGUGACAAUGAACAUCUGAAGAACAAAAAAUGUACAAAUUUAGUAGUUAUUUAUGGCAGCUGUUGAACCCAUCUUCAUUCCCUCUGCAGGAGACUCAUGAUUGGAAAUUAGAAAGACAAAUAUUCUUCUAUGUUAUGCGCCUUCACGACUACUUUUAGAGAUUAUGUCUGAUUAGUUUGCAUCUUUAUUAGAUUGUUGGUGUUAUGUUAGGUUUGCCUGUAUCUAGCCUGUUUAUAAAUAUGCACUGUAACAGGUAAUAUCUGGAUUAUAUGAAUUCCUCCAUUUGUCAGUAUUGAUCUUCUCCAAACAAUGUUGACUUACCACUUAUUGGUGGUCCUUUAUUUGUUCUGAGCUCUGCUUUAGGUUUGUCUUCUG